GGAAGAGGAAGAAGUUAAAAAUGUUAUCUCAAUGUGCUUAUGAUUUAUUUUGAAAAUGUAGGAGAGUGCUAGUUUUCAAAUCAAUUUAAGAGGAAAACGUCAAAUACCUGCAGAAAAUCCAAAGAGGAAGACGACAUAGACAAAAAGAAAUCGCAGGAUGUCACUGAGGAUCAUCUAGAAAAAGAGUGGAAACAAGAGGCAUCAGGGAUGAGAGUGGUCACUGAGGGGUUCACUGGGACACAGCUCAGGCCGUGUGCACUGUACCUUCUGUAUCAUGACACUGUAGAUGCCCAUGUGUCUGUCUCCCCUGGAAUAGUAGAGCAGGUUCACCCAGCUCAGGGCGAGACACAGCACCAUGAAGCCCAGGUAUGCCUGCUGCCCGCACACGUACAGCCCGGCCGAGGUUAUGAAGAGGAAGCCCUGCAAGAAA